rnacentral:rRNA from 1 species
AGAGUUUGAUCCUGGCCCAGGAUGAACGCUAGCGGCAGGCUUAACACAUGCAAGUCGAGGGGUAACAGGGGAGCUUGCUCCCGCUGACGACCGGCGCACGGGUGAGUAACGCGUAUGCAACCUGCCCUUUACUGGGGGAUAGCUCCGAGAAAUCGUGAUUAAUACCCCAUAAUAUCUAUUUAAGACAUCUUUUAUAGAUUAAAGUUCCGACGGUAAAGGAUGGGCAUGCGUGCCAUUAGUUUGUUGGUGAGGUAACGGCUCACCAAGACUGCGAUAGCUAGGGGGUCUAAAGGAUGAUCCCCCACACUGGUACUGAGACACGGACCAGACUCCUACGGGAGGCAGCAGUGAGGAAUAUUGGGCAAUGGACGCAAGUCUGACCCAGCCAUGCCGCGUGCAGGAUGACGGCCCUAUGGGUUGUAAACUGCUUUUGUACGAGAAGAAAAGAACUUACGUGUAAGUAACUGACGGUAUCGUACGAAUAAGCAUCGGCUAACUCCGUGCCAGCAGCCGCGGUAAUACGGAGGAUGCAGGCGUUAUCCGGAUUUAUUAGGUUUAAAGGGUGCGUAGGCGGAAUAUUAAGUCAGUGGUGAAAUCCUGCAGCUCAACUGUAGAAUUGCCAUUGAUACUGUUAUUCUUGAGUAUAGUUGAGGUGGGCGGAAUGUAUCAUGUAGCGGUGAAAUGCUUAGAUAUGAUACAGAACACCGAUUGCGUAGGCAGCUCACUAAACUAUUACUGACGCUGAGGCACGAAAGCGUGGGGAGCGAACAGGAUUAGAUACCCUGGUAGUCCACGCUGUAAACUAUGAUUACUCGUUGUGUGCAAUACAUCGUACGCGACUGAGCGAAAGCAUUAAGUAAUCCACCUGGGGAGUACGUCGGCAACGGUGAAACUCAAAGGAAUUGACGGGGGCCCGCACAAGCGGAGGAACAUGUGGUUUAAUUCGAUGAUACGCGAGGAACCUUACCUGGGCUUAAAUGCAGAACGAUCGACACCGAAAGGUGUUUUCCCUUCGGGGCGUACUGCAAGGUGCUGCAUGGUUGUCGUCAGCUCGUGCCGUGAGGUGUCGGGUUAAGUCCCAUAACGAGCGCAACCCUCAUUGUUAGUUGCCAGCGGGUAAUGCCGGGGACUCUAGCAAAACUGCCGGUGUAAACCGUGAGGAAGGUGGGGAUGACGUCAAAUCAGCACGGCCCUUAUGUCCAGGGCUACACACGUGUUACAAUGGUCAGUACAAAGGGCAGCUAUCUGGUAACAGAAUGCUAAUCUCCAAAACUGGUCUCAGUUCGGAUCGGAGUCUGCAACUCGACUUCGUGAAGUUGGAUUCGCUAGUAAUCGCGUAUCAGCAAUGACGCGGUGAAUACGUUCCCGGGCCUUGUACACACCGCCCGUCAAGCCAUGGAAGCUUGGGGUACCUGAAGUCUGUAACCGUAAGGAGCGGCCUAGGGUAAAACAAGUGACUGGGGCUAAGUCGGAACAAGGUA